rnacentral:rRNA from 1 species
GAGUUUGAUCCUGGCUCAGGAUGAACGCUGGCGGCGUGCUUAACACAUGCAAGUCGAACGGACUCAUAUUGAGACCUAGUGAUGUAUGAGUUAGUGGCGGACGGGUGAGUAACGCGUGGAGAACCUGCCGUAUACUGGGGGAUAACACUUAGAAAUAGGUGCUAAUACCGCAUAAGCGCACAGCUUCGCAUGAAGCAGUGUGGAAAACAAAAAGCUAAAGCUUUUGGUGGUAUACGAUGGAUCCGCGUCUGAUUAGCUUGUUGGCGGGGUAAAGGCCCACCAAGGCGACGAUCAGUAGCCGGCCUGAGAGGGUGAACGGCCACAUUGGGACUGAGACACGGCCCAAACUCCUACGGGAGGCAGCAGUGGGGAAUAUUGCACAAUGGGGGAAACCCUGAUGCAGCGACGCCGCGUGAGUGAAGAAGUAUUUCGGUAUGUAAAGCU